CGUCGGUGGCAACGAUGCUCGAGAACGAUUUACACGAGAGAAUCCACCACAAAGAAGAGUUCCCCUUUGGAUUGUGAUUCGGCUGCAUUCGAUCGGAUCAGCUGCAAGUUCUAGGCCCGUUAAUAUGCUUGGAUCCAAUGGAUGGUCGGUAUGCCUCUCCUGCAAUGACUGGAGGACCAAGGUAUUCAAAGAAAGGCCGUAGAUGGCAAACAUAGUGGUCCUCAAAUGCAGCUACAGAAACAACAACAAUAGAUGCAAUGGCGACUUGCAGUAACUGUUGGAAAUAUCUCGCAACCAACACCCCCGUAACAACAACGCCCCAGGCCUCAGUCACAGUUUAUUUUAAAUAUUUUAGUGGAGUGUUUAGUGUGUGGUUACAGGAUCAUGCGAUUAA